rfam:Candidate division WWE3 bacterium GW2011_GWB1_44_4 TW65_C0013, whole genome shotgun sequence.
GGGCGGGUGGCGGAAUGGCAUACGCGCUACGCUAAGGACGUAGUGGAGAAAUCCAUGCAGGUUCAAUUCCUGUCCCGCCCA